UACGAGGGGGGCGAGCGUUGUUCGGAAUUAUUGGGCGUAAAGGGUGCGUAGGCGGUUUUGUAAGUCUUAUGUGAAAUCUAUGGGCUCAACUCAUAGACUGCAUGAGAAACUGCAGGGCUUGAGUAUGGGAGAGGUGAGUGGAACUGCGAGUGUAGAGGUGAAAUUCGUAGAUAUUCGCAAGAACACCAGUGGCGAAGGCGGCUCACUGGCCCAUUACUGACGCUGAGGCACGAAAGCGUGGGGAGCAAACAGG
rnacentral:rRNA from 1 species